GCUGGCGCAAGUCGUCUUGCGCCAGGCGACUGGGUCUGAGGAGGCAGGAGUUAUUCAUUCCCUUAAGCUUUCAGGCCGGGGGGAGAAUCUUUCAGGUGGUAGCUGCAAGAACUCUUAGUAUGUUGACCUCACCUCUGCCUUCCACAUACCACUACCAGUGAGGAAUUAGGAAUGCAUGAGAAGAGUGUCCAAGAAGAGUGUCCUCAUUCAUGCAAGGCUUAAGAGAGAAUGCAGGUCAACAUCACCAUGUCAAUCAGAGAAUACUUCUGUUGGGUUGAAUGACUCUCUGCCCCCAGGUUUGGAUAUUCUACAGAAGUUCACCUGGGCUUCAGAUUCGCACCUGAUCCUAAUCUCUGAUUAACACCAUCAGAUAAAGAGAUUCUCCUAACAUGUUGGGGCCAUAGACUAAGGAAGUUUAGCAAGUCUGGGAGCUUUCAGAGUGACUAACCAUACCAGUUUGACCAAGACUGUAUUGGCUGCAGCACUUAAAAGCUCACAUCCCGGAAAUCCUUUGGUCCUCGGUGAAUUGGGAUGGUUGGUUACCCUAUUACUGAUGAUUGUAAUUCUCAGUUUGGAACCAGCAGCAGCAGCAGCUCCCCAGACCUACUGAAUCAGAAUCUACAUUUUGAUAAGAGCCCAGGGUGACUCCAUGUACGUGAAAAAGUUUGAGAAGUCCUUAGACCUACAGUUCACAGCUUCUCCUUCUUUCUUAUUCAACUGAAUUGCAGUGGGACCUGAGUAUGGUUAAAAUAAAUGAAUAAAAACACAAA
rnacentral:lncRNA from 1 species